rnacentral:rRNA from 1 species
UACGAAGGGGGCUAGCGUUGCUCGGAAUGACUGGGCGUAAAGGGCGCGUAGGCGGUUUGUACAGUCAGAUGUGAAAUUCCUGGGCUCAACCUGGGGGCUGCAUUUGAUACGUGCAGGCUUGAGUGUGGAAGAGGGUCGUGGAAUUCCCAGUGUAGAGGUGAAAUUCGUAGAUAUUGGGAAGAACACCGGUGGCGAAGGCGGCGACCUGGUCCAUUACUGACGCUGAGGUGCGAAAGCGUGGGGAGCAAACAGG